ensembl:misc_RNA Gm54851 predicted gene, 22508
GGCUAGUCCAAAGGUAGUGAGUUAUCUCAAUUGCUUGUUCACAGUCACUUACAGAUUGAACUCCUGUUCUGUGCUCUUCCCGCCCCUCACUACUACACUUGACUAGAGAU